rnacentral:lncRNA from 1 species
AUGGCAUUUGAAAGUGCUACAGCUGAACAAACUCCUUUGCCACCUCCUGACAUGUCUUCACCCAACAACAGCUUUGAGAACUUCUCCUUCAUCAUCUCAAGCUCUGGUGGUAACAGAAAAAUCAGAACAAGGUAUGGCAUGGAACGGUUGCUACUUCUAAUUCAUGGUAUAUGGUACACUUACCUGAAAGUGAUAUAUCUUGAGAUCCUGGUUUCCAGUCGAGCAUAUCAUCAGUCUUCUUUCUUCCAUGUUUGCUUAAAUCAGGUGAUGCCCGUCCGACAAGCUUAGAGAUUGGCCAUCCAACCGGAGGGGGAUCAUAUGGGCUGCUGUUCUCAUCGUUGACCUCAGAGUAGGUUGAGACUGUGGAGAUUGUGCGGCUGUAGUCGAUC